rnacentral:rRNA from 1 species
AGUGAACGCUGGCGGUAGGCCUAACACAUGCAAGUCGAACGGCAGCACAGUAAGAGCUUGCUCUUACGGGUGGCGAGUGGCGGACGGGUGAGGAAUACAUCGGAAUCUACUUUUUCGUGGGGGAUAACAUAGGGAAACUUACGCUAAUACCGCAUACGACCUACGGGUGAAAGCAGGGGAUCUUCGGACCUUGCGCGAUUGAAUGAGCCGAUGUCGGAUUAGCUAGUUGGCGGGGUAAAGGCCCACCAAGGCGACGAUCCGUAGCUGGUCUGAGAGGAUGAUCAGCCACACUGGAACUGAGACACGGUCCAGACCCCUACGGGAGGCAGCAGUGGGGAAUAUUGGACAAUGGGCGCAAGCCUGAUCCAGCCAUACCGCGUGGGUGAAGAAGGCCUUCGGGUUGUAAAGCCCUUUUGUUGGGAAAGAAAAGCAGCAGGUUAAUACCCCGCUGUUCUGACGGUACCCAAAGAAUAAGCACCGGCUAACUUCGUG